rnacentral:rRNA from 1 species
GUYUUUUAGUAAUUUAUUUAAAGUYUAACCUGCCCAUUGAUUUUAUUUAAAAGGCUGCGGUAUUAUGACUGUACAAAGGUAGCAUAAUCAUUAGUUUUUUAAUUGAGAACUUGUAUGAAUGGUUGAAUGAAACAUUAGCUUUUUUUAAAAAAAGAUUGAAUUUUACUUUUUAAUUAAAAGGUUAAAAUUAAAUUAAAAGACGAGAAGACCCUAUAGAGUUUUAUAAUUAUAUAAGUAUCUACAUUAAUAAAGAUUAAAAAUUAUUAUAUUUAUUAAAUUAUUUUGUUGGGGUGAUAAUAAAAUUUAAAUAACUUUUAUUUUUUUUUUACAUUAAUAUAUGAAUAAUUGAUCCAUUAAUAUUGAUUAAAAGAUUAAAUUACCUUAGGGAUAACAGCGUAAUUUUUUUUUAAGUUCAUAUUAAUAAAAAAGUUUGCGACCUCGAUGUUGGAUUAAGAUUAAUUUUAGGUGCAGAAGUUUAAAAUUUUAAGUCUGUUCGACUUUUAAAUUCUU